AAGUCUUGGUUCUCCUUCAUUUACACGAAAAAAUCUUUCGCCUUUUACUAAAGAUUUCCGUGGAGGAGGACAACACAAUGGGCUUAAGGGUAUUUUUUUGUCUCCCGCCGGAUUUUCCAGGCGG
rnacentral:snRNA from 1 species